rnacentral:rRNA from 1 species
AUUGAACGCUGGCGGCAGGCCUAACACAUGCAAGUCGAACGGUAACAGGAAGCAGCUUGCUGCUUUGCUGACGAGUGGCGGACGGGUGAGUAAUGUCUGGGAAACUGCCUGAUGGAGGGGGAUAACUACUGGAAACGGUAGCUAAUACCGCAUAACGUCGCAAGACCAAAGAGGGGGACCUUCGGGCCUCUUGCCAUCGGAUGUGCCCAGAUGGGAUUAGCUAGUAGGUGGGGUAACGGCUCACCUAGGCGACGAUCCCUAGCUGGUCUGAGAGGAUGACCAGCCACACUGGAACUGAGACACGGUCCAGACUCCUACGGGAGGCAGCAGUGGGGAAUAUUGCACAAUGGGCGCAAGCCUGAUGCAGCCAUGCCGCGUGUAUGAAGAAGGCCUUCGGGUUGUAAAGUACUUUCAGUGGGGAGGAAGGGAGUAAAGUUAAUACCUUUGCUCAUUGACGUUACCCGCAGAAGAAGCACCGGCUAACUCCGUG